GCUCCGAUUGCCGGCUGAGAUUGCGUGAGUGCGUGCGUGUGUAUGCGUGUGUUGGGGCCAGCGUUGCGCUCUCUACUGGCCGGCCGGCCACCGACGGGUUGCUGUCCUUCACUGUUUUUAUACGUGUGCGAGAGUGUGUUCGGUCCCUGCAGUGAGUUACGCGAGAGAAACUGGUUUUCCGGCGCUUCGCCCACAAUGUCGGCCCCUGUCACGUUACUGCGAGCGUGUUUGUAGGAGCCGAGAAUAUCAGUGAAAUCGGUUCGCCUCCUCUUUAGCCGCGUUCUUUGUUUCCACUGCGGCGUACUUGUGUCUGUGCGUUUGUGAGAGUGUACUCGGCGCGCGUUUAUGUAUCGACGUGACGUUCUGGUGAGACUAACUUCGAAGUGAGAUAUCGCUGUGGUAUCGCCGCGGUGCCGCGGAGUGCGUCCGUCGUUCACGUCGGGGCGAGACACCGUGAGGUGCUCCAGUGUUUACCGGAAGCGGAGCUUCUCUUUUCGCCGAAGAAGCCAUCGUUUUGACGCUUUGCUCUCGGGCGGGGCGUUUCUUUUUCUGCCGGAGGCGUCAACGUGCCAGACGAAGUGACUCAGCUGUUGGCGUCGUCACUUCGCAUAAUUCCGGAAACAUCUGAAGUGUACAAGGAAAACAAGCAUGGAGAUCGUGAUCACAAAGCUCCAGUACAUCUCAUACCUCGGCUUCCUGUGUGGUGCGGUCGGUAUAAUAACGAGCUACGCCAUAGCUGUCAGCAGAGGCGACGUUGAACCAUGGCUGCCGUACAUCAGUGAUGCCGGCGGGGACCCUCCUCAAAGCAGCGUCUUCUCUUUUUCUAUGAUCUUGGUUUCACUCUGCUUCCUGGUCGGCUGCUGUCUAUGCUACAUGAUCAUGGUUGUGAAGAACUCUACCCAAGAUUUCUACGUCAAAUGGCUGAGCCGCCUAAUACCGCUGGCCGGUGCCGGUUGCUCAGCGGGCAUGGUGCUCUUGGCCAUCAACCCCGUUGGUCAUCUGCGGAGAGACGGCACCUGGCUGUAUCCCAUCUUCGUGCCACACAUGGUCGGAGCCGUGGGCAUGUUCGCCAGCGGCAUCAGCCUCAUGUGGAUCCUCGCCUGGUGCAACUACCUGCUCGACUACGGCGCCUGGAAAACCUCCUUUUACGCUCGGUGCCUCAUUGCCACUGUUGGCAUAAUUUCGGGAGUCCUGACGAUCGCGUAUUGUCCUUUAGGACAAGCGGAGGAGCUGGGACCGCUUCCAAAUGGUCCCAGAAAGUAUCCUGAAGGCAUUCUAGUCAGCACGAUUUCGGAGUGGGUGGUCGUCUUGACGUUCAUAGCGUUCACCCUGUCGUUCGCUGCGGAGUUCCGAAAGUUCAAGCUGACGCUGAAACUGGAGUACAUCUCCGAGCCCAACUCGAGCCACACGCAGCUGAAGACUGCAGCUGAGAACCACGGGGAAACAUGCCUCAGGGAAGAGUCGCCGGCGUCGCCGAAGUGAACGACUGCUCGACCGUGCCUCUAGUCAGCUCUCUGGCCAUCCGCACACAAUGUGCAACAUGUCAGGAACACGAAAGAAGCGUUAAACAACGUGUCAUUGUCGUCGUAAUUGUGGUGAAUGCCAUAUAGAUACUGAAACGGACCGGAGCAAACAGUUCGCUAAGUUAUGACUUCUAGAACUAUUCAAGGGUAUAUCUAGCUGUCUAUCGCGUUGUUAGUGCCUCAAAUGUUUUUCUUUUUUUUAAGUAUUGUUUGGUCAUAUUCGUCUUGUGAACACAUCAGAUCUUCAGUAGGACUGGGAUUAAUUGAUGAGUUUUAAAAACACAUUCUUAUCCUGGAUGUUCUGAACUAUUGCUCGUGUGAUUUGAACAAAAAGACUCAUAUGCAUACCUUAUUACUCCUGCACUAUCAACAAACAUUUUAUAAUUUCAGUGAUAUUGAGGAGACAUUUCAGGAGACUCUUCUAGCCUGGCCUCUCUAUCGUGACGAAGCCCGGCGGUUGUAGUUUUGCUAAUUGAUGGAAAUGUGAUCAAUGAAAUAAUGCUGACAGAAACUAUCAUGUGCAUUACAGGGUGUCAUAUUUUGAUAUCUGUGAUACCGACCGGAAAUGCGCAUAUUGUUGUUGUUUCCUUGUUAUUCAUUAAGUUGUUGAUGGUUGAUUCAGGGGUGUGCUAAAAUAAAAAAAGCUGAGUACCUCUACAA
rnacentral:misc_RNA from 1 species